rnacentral:rRNA from 1 species
UACGUAGGGGGCAAGCGUUGUCCGGAAUCAUUGGGCGUAAAGCGCGUGUAGGCGGCUUGGUAAGUCCGCUCUGAAAGCCCGGGGCUCAACCCCGGGAGGCGGGUGGAUACUGUCAAGCUCGAGUCCGGAAGAGGCGAGUGGAAUUCCUGGUGUAGCGGUGAAAUGCGCCAGAUAUCAGGAGGAACACCAAUGGCGAAGGCAGCUCGCUGGGACGUGACUGACGCUGAGACGCGAAAGCGUGGGGAGCAAACAGG